rnacentral:lncRNA from 1 species
AAUCUAAACUAUUGGGGUCCAACCUAUAAACUCAGCUGGAAGGGUUUCAGUACCGUGCCACGGGUAAAGAUACUGCUGAGAACGAUUACCACCCUGUGACCCUGGAUGAGAAAAACUAAAACUACUUGUCCUGGCUUUUUUAUUUACUCUAUUUUUCCUUAGUUUUCUAUGCCUCAAUCUACUGAGCGUGCAUCAUCAAUAUAGAAAGAUCCAUGUCUCUAUUUAGCAUAGCAGUCCUACACUCCUUAACC